ACAGCAGUCGCCGCGGUAAUACGAAGGGGGCUAGCGUUGCUCGGAAUUACUGGGCGUAAAGGGAGCGUAGGCGGGUCGUUAAGUUGGGGGUGAAAGCCCGGGGCUCAACCUCGGAAUUGCCUUCAAAACUGGCGACCUUGAGUAUGGGAGAGGUGAGUGGAACUCCGAGUGUAGAGGUGAAAUUCGUAGAUAUUCGGAAGAACACCAGUGGCGAAGGCGACUCACUGGCCCAUUACUGACGCUGAGGCUCGAAAGCGUGGGGAGCAAACAGGAUUAGAUACCCCUGUAGUCCCUGUCUCUUAUAC
rnacentral:rRNA from 1 species